rnacentral:rRNA from 1 species
UUGAACGCUGGCGGCAUGCUUUACACAUGCAAGUCGAACGGUAACAGGCCGCAAGGUGCUGACGAGUGGCGACCGGGUGAGUAAUGCAUCGGAACGUGCCCAGUCGUGGGGGAUAACUACUCGAAAGAGUAGCUAAUACCGCAUACGAUCUAUGGAUGAAAGCGGGGGACCGUAAGGCCUCGCGCGAUUGGAGCGGCCGAUGUCAGAUUAGGUAGUUGGUGGGGUAAAGGCUCACCAAGCCAACGAUCUGUAGCUGGUCUGAGAGGACGACCAGCCACACUGGGACUGAGACACGGCCCAGACUCCUACGGGAGGCAGCAGUGGGGAAUUUUGGACAAUGGGCGCAAGCCUGAUCCAGCAAUGCCGCGUGCAGGAAGAAGGCCUUCGGGUUGUAAACUGCUUUUGUACGGAACGAAACGGCUCUGGUUAAUACCCGGGGCUAAUGACGGUACCGUAAGAAUAAGCACCGGCUAACUACGUG